CGGAAGCUGCUGGAGUAUCCAACCUAUCAUGUGCUGCCUGUUGGUGCCGGAAGUGGAGUCUUUUCGGUGGCUGCUGUGUCACCCUGUUAUCGUUUUAUUUUGGAUAUUUUCUACACUAGCUGGGAGGGGUCAGCGUUCGGAUAUGGUGUUUUUGAAUUCGGAAUGUGAUAGGUGUGUUUGAGUGUGAAAGGCUUGGCCUUGUACCUGAUCUCGCUUUCUGGUUCUUGCACAAGAGCGCCCUGUCGCUACGGUUGCUAUGGACACAAACCCCGCGGUCUCGGGUACCAAGUCCUUAAGAACUGGUCAAGAGCAUUCUUAGUCCAAUCCUUUUAUGAAGAAUCGGAACCAGGGAAACAAAAUACAACUCAACUGAAACAUGUGCUAUGGAAGAGACUUCUGGCCCUCAGUUUUCUACUCUGUAAGAUGGAAAUAAUAGACUACAUCAUAGGUGGGUGUGAGGAUUAAAUGAGUCACGCAGAAAGCUUAGACAUAGGGGAAGCCAGCCAUGUCAUGAAUUCACUGACAGCCCUGUGGAUAGACUUACAUGGAGAGAAACCGAGGCCUCCUGCCAGCAGUCAGCAUCAACUUGCCAGCCAUGUGAGUAAGCAACCUUGGAAGUGGAUCAACCAGCCCCAGCCAAGCCCUCAGGUGACUGCAGCCUCAGACAGACCAUAGGUCUCCAGAUCAAGAAGAGCCACAUCUGGACCCGAUAUGAAAGACUAUCAUGAGAUCCUGAAUUUUGAAAUAAUGUCAUAACUGGGUGACACUGUUAUCUUCCUUGGGAAGGGGUCUUCAAUUUUACUGUCAAAGAAGCAUGAACAAAAGAAUUUCAGCAAUAUCAGAAAAACUCAUUAUUAAAAUAAAUGUAUAAAGUAAGCCUUUGAAAAUAAUUUAGAUGUGUGAAAACACAUCUAAGUAAAAGUAUUCUACAAGUGUCUGCAUUUCUUCUCAGCCCAUUCUGCAACCAUACUGACAUAUAUUUACACACUUGGUAAACAUGCCUCCUGAGCUACUUUGCUCAGUAUCUUGUAAGGGGGGAUGCCAGAAAGUCCUAGCGGGAUCACUCAUGUACCUGUAAGUCUCCAUCCCAAAUCAACGACUUCCCCAAUACAUGCAUGACAAAUGACUGGGAAAAAUAAUAGAAAGGAAAAAGACAAUGUUACAUAGAAAAUGAUUAAAUAUUAGU